rnacentral:lncRNA from 1 species
GAGGAGUCAUUUGGUGACUUUUGAGUGAAAUCCAAUGGCUAAAACUAUGCAAUACACUAACCACUCCAUUUCAGAACAAACUUCGUACAAACCAGAAUUGUCCAAUUUCAUGAACCAAUCGAUAUCGGAUUGAGUCCAAAACUUGGGGAACAUCAUAAUAUGAUGGGAGGAGUCAUUUGGUGCCUUUUGAGUGAAAUCCAAU